AGCAGGAGCCAUGCAAGUCAUGCAUUUCGUUUAAAGCGUCGAGUUGAAUGAAAUAAAAUCGAUUUCUUGCCCGAAUUUUGAAGCAAAAUUGAAGAAGAAAUGUUGAAUUUUCAACCUCAAGUGAAACUCAAAGGUAUCCACUUUUUAUUUCAUAUAAAAUGUUCAUAUUUUGACGAGUAAAAGCGUUUGAAACUACUUGUUAAAAUUGCCAAAAUGAUCUCGGUGUUAUAGUGAAGCUAAAAGACUCAACUGAGGUAUAUAUACUCAGUUCUAUUUUAUUUAAAAUGUUCAUAUUUGGGUGAAUAAAAGUGUUUAAAACUACUUGCUGAAGUUGACGAGUGACGACCUACAAAGUCUACAAACCGCUUGACCGUCGCAUUGGCGAUUUUACUUUAUAGGCGCCUGUCCAGUCAUAAUUAAAGUAAAGAGUAAAUAGACUGAAAUUUGAACUUAAUUAGUCUUGUUUUCCCCGGAUAUAUUUUUAGUUUAAUUAGUAAGUAGAAAAACGUUUAGUGAUAAAGUUUUUAGGGUGUUUUAAAACUAAAUUUGUUUUAAAAUUUAUCGUUUCUAGUGAGAACAAAAAAUGUGGAUAUCUUGGGCAAAUGUGCAUUCUCGUGGUGGAUAUCUUGGGCAAAUGUGUGUUCUCAUGCUGGAUAUCUUGGGCAAAUAUGCAUUUUCGUGGUGGAUAUCUUGGGCAAAUGUGCAUUCUCAUGGUGGAUAUCUUGGGCAAAUGUGUGCUCUUAUGGUGGAUAUCUUGGGCAAAUGUGUAUUCUCGUGGUGGAUAUCUUGGGCAAAUGUGCAUUCUCGUGGUGGAUAUCUCUGGCAAAUGUGCAUUACUAUGGUAAACAUCUUGCGUAAUUCUGAAGAAAGAAGACGUCGAAAGGUUAGUGGGUUUUGUAUCGGUAAAAUGGGGGUCUCUGCGGUCAGGAGCGAAGUAUGGUGGUGAAGGGGUAAAAUAUGCGGAAAUGGGGGUAAGUACUUAAUUAAGUGGCAACAAUAUGUGCAAAUAUGGAGGCAACAAUAUGGAGGCAACAAUAUGGAGGCAACAAUAUGGCGGAAUAAUAUAGUGUAAUAAUAUAGUGAUGCGCAUAAAUUGUCAAGUGCGACAUAGUAAUUAACUAGUAAAAUGGGGGGGGGCGGGGUGCCCCGUUUAAAAAAUGCGUUUGCGCAAUUUAACUUUAUUCGUAUAUAGUCAGAGGUAUAUAGUAAUAUAGAUCAAUAUACGAAUGAAGCGAAAAUUUCGGGAAAAAUUAUAGGCAGUAAAAAUGUGCUAAUACUGGGGGGUGCCCCUCUGAUAAAUAUCGAUGCAUAACUUUCUCGCAAUAUACUUUCAAACAUUAAGUUUUAUAUGAAAUAUUAUCAUUUAAUUUUAUGGCACAAGCAUCAUAAAAAUGUAUUAAACCUAUUAUUACAUGCUAAGUUAAUAAGAUUUUAGGAAUUUAUUUAUUUAAAUAAAUGGGGGCCCCAGACACAGGAUGAGAUAUCUAUACGUAUUUAUUUGUAUACGCUCUAUUUGUUGUAAUAUAUAUAAUGAAACAUUAUUUCUGUAAUAUAAUUUAAUUUAAACGUGCAUUUUUGUAAUAUUAUGCUAAAGCGAGUACAUUUUUUUGCAAGAUAUAAUGUUAAGAUUAACUUUUGUAAUACAUUUCGUAAUGUAUAAAAUAUUUAACGUGUAUUAAUUUAAUUUGUAUUAUAAUUAUAUUUAACGAAUUUUUUGUAACAAUACAUAUUGUAUUUCACAUUGUAUUUUUUGUCAAGCUGUAAUUAUCAUUGUUGUAUACUACAUUUAACAAAUGUAACCGAGAUUUUUGUUAAAUACGAGCUGGGUAGCUUGCAUCCUCGUGUAUCCCUCGUUAUCCCCCUGCGAACGUGGAAGAAUCUCUGGCACCCAGUAAUGUUCUACGUGUUUUAUUCAAACAUUUACAGUAUAUAUAUUGUAGAGUAAAAUGUAAACGCAGAUUGUUCUCGAUUACUGCUUAGAAGUUACAUUUUCUGCAGCUAGCUAUCGAAAGUAAGUCCCCAAAAUGGAAUAAAAGUCAAGAUUAACCCCUUAACUUUUUUUCCAUUUCUGGUCAACGAUUGAAGUCCUUUUGUUCCUUUUUGGCCAACAUGUUCAUGAGAAUUUUCGCUAACAAAAGAUUCUUCAAAAUAUUUAGUAAAUGAUUGG
rnacentral:lncRNA from 1 species